AUUGUGCUGCGCCUGAACUUCUCUCUGGUGGGAACGCCAUUGUCUGCUUUCGGGAACCUCCGGCCAGUGCUGGCGGAGGAUGCUCAGAGACUCUUCACAGCCUUGUUUCCCUUUGAGAAGAAUUGUGGCAAUGACAACAUCUGCCAGGAUGACCUCAGCAUCACCUUCAGUUUCAUGAGCCUGGACUGCCUCGUGGUGGGUGGGCCCCGGGAGUUCAACGUGACAAUGACUGUGAGAAAUGAUGGUGAGGACUCCUACAGGACACAGGUCACCUUCUUCUUCCCGCUUGGCCUGUCCUACCGGAAGGUGUCCACGCUCCAGAACCAGCGCUCACAGCGAUCCUGGCGUCUGGCCUGUGAGUCUGUCUCUUCCACCGAAGUGUCUGGGGCCUUGAAGAGCACCAGCUGCAGCAUAAACCACCCCAUCUUCCCGGAAAACUCAGAGGUCACCUUUAAUAUCACGUUUGAUGUAGACUCUAAGGCUUCCCUUGGAAACAAACUGCUCCUCAAGGCCAAUGUGACCAGGUGCUCUCUGCUACCAGGCUUCUGCAGGCAGUU
rnacentral:sRNA from 1 species